GGAAAAUUAACCACUCGGACUAGCCACAGCAGAUGGUGUGAGCACUCUGCCAUGGUUUUAGAGAGGAUAAGUAGCAGCUCUCCAGGAGGCCAAGGUGAUUGUUUUCCAGGGAGCUGUGAGUGACUGCUGAAGACAUCUGCUCUGUAAAUACUGGAUGUGAAGUGAGUGGAGCCCCACCAACACAACUGUUCCUCACACAGGGAGGUUGGAUUCCCCAUGUCCAAGAAAUGAAGGGGUGAGCUCUGCUGUGUGUCCACGUGGACCUGGGGUGUGACUGGAGAGAGCAGCCAAAGACAGGUUGUAGGAUACUGGAACACUUUUUGCAAGGGAAAGGAUAAGACAUGACUUUAUUUUUAGAGGUGGAUGGUAUUUUUAGAUUAACUUUUUUUCCCCUGGAAGACUUGUAUUUAGGUUGAGCAAAGCAUUUUAAAUAAUACUGUCAACUAAAAAGUCAGUGGAUCAUCUGGUUAAAAAAAA